UACGUAGGGUGCAAGCGUUGUCCGGAAUUAUUGGGCGUAAGAGCUCGUAGGCGGUUCGUCACGUCGGCUGUGAAAUCCCGAGGCUCAACCUCGGGUCUGCAGUCGAUACGGGGCGGGACUGGAGUACUGCAGGGGAGAUGGAAUUCCUGGUGUAGCGGUGAAAUGCGCAGAUAUCAGGAGGAACACCGAUGGCGAAGGCAGGUCUCUG
rnacentral:rRNA from 1 species